rnacentral:rRNA from 1 species
GAUGAACGCUGGCGGCGUGCCUAAUACAUGCAAGUAGAACGCUGAAGGAAGGAGCUUGCUCUUUCCGGAUGAGUUGCGAACGGGUGAGUAACGCGUAGGUAACCUGCCUGGUAGCGGGGGAUAACUAUUGGAAACGAUAGCUAAUACCGCAUAACAGUAGAUGUUGCAUGAUAUCUACUUAAAAGGUGCAAUUGCACCACUACCAGAUGGACCUGCGUUGUAUUAGCUAGUUGGUGAGGUAACGGCUCACCAAGGCGACGAUACAUAGCCGACCUGAGAGGGUGAUCGGCCACACUGGGACUGAGACACGGCCCAGACUCCUACGGGAGGCAGCAGUAGGGAAUCUUCGGCAAUGGACGGAAGUCUGGCCGAGCAACGCCGCGUGAGUGAAGAAGGUUUUCGGAUCGUAAAGCUCGGUUGUAAGAGAAGAACGAGUGUGAGAGUGGAAAGUUCACACUGUGACGGUAUCUUACCAGAAAGGGACGGCUAACUACGUG